rnacentral:rRNA from 1 species
AUUGAACGCUGGCGGCAGGCUUAACACAUGCAAGUCGAACGAGAGGCGGACGGGUGCGUAAUGUCUGGGAAACUGCCUGAUGGAGGAGGAUACCUACUGGAAACGGUAGCUAAUACCGCAUACCAUCAGAUGUGCCCAGAUGGGAUUAGCUAGUUGGUGGGGUAACGUCUAACCAAGGCGACGAUCCCUAGCUGGUCUGAGAGGAUGACCGGCCGCACGGGAACUGAGACACGGUCCAGACUCCUACGGUAGGCAGCAGUGGAGAAUAUUGCACAAUGGGCGGAAGCCUGAGGCAGCCAUGCAGAGUGUAUGAAGGAGGCCUUCGGGGUGUAAAGAACUUUCAGCGAGGAUGCGUUACCCGCAGAAGAAGCACCGGCUAACUCCGUGCCAGCAGCCGCGGUAAUUC